GCAGGCGGCUGGACCUUGGCCCCCCAGAACCACACUACGCAAGCGCAGGACUAAGCCCGGCUCCGCCCCCCCUCCGGAGGGCGGGGCUUUGAAGUUCAGACCGGACCCCCCUGGACCCCCGAGGUCGGUGAGAAGUGGCUGGAAUACGUGAUGGGUGGCUUGUCUAGGUCAGGAGUUCACAGAAAUGAACGCCCGGUGGUGGUCCGCGGCCGCCCCCGCCGCCCGGACCCGGAGAGUUCACAUCCAGUGAGUUCCCGUCAGGUCCCGGGUGUCCUCCUCGGCUCCCCCCAGACGCGAACCCACGCCCUGGCUCGGUCUGCACCGGCGCUCUGACUCUGGCGCUCCACAGCCCCAGCCCCAAGGAGGAAUUUUGCUCAUGUUGUACUCACGGCGUCUUAGGCUGGGAACUUACCGUGAGACAGGGGUCGUGAGCCAUAAGUUGGGGAAACACUGGACUCGUCCUUAGAGGAUAUGAUGUCUACCCUAGAGAAUAUGAUGUCUACCUUGAAGCUAGGUAAAGAUAGCGCUGGAGUUAUAAGCUCUCUCUGGACUGCUGGCCCAGGGACCUUUAGUCUUUUUAUGUGCACACAUACACACACACACACACACACACACACACACACACACAUUCCAAAUUGGUUAAAAAUGGUUUAGAAUGUGUAUUGAUUUCUUAGUUUAAUCAUUAAGCUCCUUUUUCAUAAACUGGACUGGAUUGAGCAAGGCUUGUUUCUAGGAUAAUUUUGGAUCUCCAGGAGCUACAAACCCUAAAAGACUGUUCUGAAUUAGGCGGCUGUAGAAAUCACUGUUAACACUGUAUCCCAGCAAGAGCUAAUGACGCAGCACUAACCCUGGAAUAGCAUAAGAGUAGUGGAAGCCGGUCGGUGGUGAUGCAUGCUUUUAAUCCCUGUGAGUUAAUCUCUCUGAGAUCGAGGCCAGCCUGGUCUACAGAGAGAGUUCCAGGACAGCCAAGGUUACACAGAGAAAUCUGUCUUGAAAAACCAACCAAACAAACAAGUUGAAUAGCUGAAAAAUGAGUACCGACCAUCGAAUGGGCAGCCAUGAAACCGAACUGGAGACCCUGGUAGCAAGCACAUCCAAACAUUUUCAGUUCCUUUGAAAAACCUCAGGAAAGGGCUAGGAGAAUGUGACCACUUUACAAAUACCUUCUGGCAGGACCUGAUCUCUUAGUGGUCAGAUGAGUGAAACAUAGAAAAAGGAAAUGCUCCAAUAGAAUAAAAUUGAUGGUAGAAAAUAAAGGUAGUCUAUAGUUUAGGUCUAAAAUUCAAAGUGAAGAAACUUGGUUUGGGGUUUUUUGAUGUGAGGUCCCCUCUUCUCCUUAAAAUGAGUUCUAGGUCCCAGCAGUUCAAAACUGAAUGGAGGAGUUCAGGAAUAUUUUCAUUUGUUUUUUCCCCCUUCUAGAUUGUCUCUUAACACUAAGGAUUACUAUCGUUUGUGUGGUGCUUAACUUGAACUAUACCGUGCGUUCCAUGAUUUGUUCCUUUAUAUGAUUUAAUUUUCAUGCGUUUUGUUUUGUUUUGUUUUGCAUCAGGGUGCCUCUGCAUACACCUGGCUGGCUGUCCUGGAACUCAUUAUGUAAACCAGGCUGGCUUCUAACACACAGAGAUGCACCUGCCUCUUCCUUCUGAGUGCUGAGAUUAAAUGUGUGGGCCACCACUGCUGGCUUUGAUUUUAUUUUCAAGGUUACUGUAGUCAUUUCCAUUUCACUAAUGUGGAAAUGGUGGUUAUCACUAAGUAACUAAUAAGGAAAGAAACAAGUCCCCGAAUGAGACCAAAUACCUAAUUCUUUUUUUCUACAUUUGCUGGGAGUUUGGAAUUCCCUUUUCUUCCUUCUCUGUAGAUCUCUGUGCUACCUCUCAUCAUUUAACCAGUUCCAGAGGUUAAAUGUUUUCCAGACUUAACGAAAGGCACGUGUCAACACUUCUCACCUCAACCUACUGUAAAGUCACUGUGAUGUGUAUUGUGUCACUCAGGCAUCCCUAAUAAACAGACAUCUAAUCUGAUGUGUUUAUACACUCAUUCACUAAAUGGUUUUUUAAAAUUAAAAUGACUUCAUUUGA